rnacentral:rRNA from 1 species
GUAUUGAAGGUGAUGCCUGCCCGGUGACGACGUUAAACGGCCGCGGUAUACUGACCGUGCGAAGGUAGCGCAAUCAAUUGUCCCGUAAAUCGGGACUAGUAUGAAUGGCUAAACGAGGUUCUAACUGUCUCUUACAGGCAAUCGGUGAAAUUGAUCUCCCUGUGCAAAAGCAGGGAUAAACACAUAAGACGAGAAGACCCUGUGGAACUUCAAAAUCAGCAGCCACUCCCAAAUACAUACACACCCAACCCGGGCUUACUACCCCACGGGAGACUGGCCUGCAAUUUUUCGGUUGGGGCGACCUUGGAGCAAAACAAAACCUCCAAAAAUUGGACCAUACAUCUAGACUAAGAGAGACAUCUCNACGUGCGAAUAGCAACCAGACCCAAUACAAUUGACCAAUGGACCAAGCUACCCCAGGGAUAACAGCGCAAUCUCCUCCGAGAGUCCAUAUCGACGGGGAGGUUUACGACCUCGAUGUUGGAUCAGGACAUCCUAGUGGUGCAGCAGCUACUAAGGGUUCGU